UACGAAGGGGGCUAGCGUUGCUCGGAAUCACUGGGCGUAAAGGGUGCGUAGGCGGGUUUUAAGUCAGGGGUGAAAUCCUGGAGCUCAACUCCAGAACUGCCUUUGAUACUGAAGAUCUUGAGUCCGGGAGAGGUGAGUGGAACUGCGAGUGUAGAGGUGAAAUUCGUAGAUAUUCGCAAGAACACCAGUGGCGAAGGCGGCUCACUGGCCCGGUACUGACGCUGAGGCACGAAAGCGUGGGGGAGCAAACAGG
rnacentral:rRNA from 1 species